AUGAUGUUGGGAACUGAAGGCAGAGAGGGAUUUGUGGUGAAGGUCCAGGGCUUACCCUGGUCUUGCUCGGCUGAAGAAGUGCAGCAUUUUUUUUCUGACUGCAUAAUUCAAAAUGGGGCUCAAGGUAUUCGUUUCAUCUACACGAGAGAAGGCAGACUGAGUGGCAAGGCUUUUGUUGAACUUGAAUCAGAAGAUGAAGUCAAAUUGGCCCUGAAAAAAGACAGAGAAAUUAUGGGACACAGAUAUGUUGAAGUAUUCAAGUCAAACAAUGUUGAAAUGGAUUGGGUGUUGAAGCAUACCGGUCCAAAUAGUCCUGACAUAGCCAAUGAUGUCUUUGUGCAGCUUAGAGGACUGCCCUUUAGAUGUAGCAAGGAAGAAAUUGUUCAGUUCUUCUCAGGAUUGGAAAUCAUGCCAAAUGGGAUAAUAUUGCUGGUGGACUUCCAGGGGAGGAGUACGGGGGAGGCCUUCAUGCAGUUUAUUUCACAGGAAAUAGCUGAAAAGGCUCUAAAGAAACACAAGGAAAGAAUAGGGCACAGGUAUAUCAAAAUCUUUAAGAGUAGUUGAGCUGAAAUUAGAACUCACUAUGAUCCACCACAAAACCUUAUGGCCAUGCAGCGGCCAGGUCCCUAUGACAGACCUAGGGCUGGCAGAGGGUAUAACAGCAUUGGCAGAGGAGCUUUGAGAGGAUGAGGCAUGGUGCUUAUGGUGGAGGCUAUGGAGGCUGUGAUGAUGAUAAUGGCUAUAAUGAUGGCUAUGGAUUUGGGUCAGAUAGAUUUGGAAGAAACCUCAAUUACUAUUUUUCAGGAAUGUCUGAUUACAGAUACAGGGAGGGUGGGCCUACUUUCCAGAGCACAACAGGACAUUGUGUACACAUGCAUGGAUUACCUUACAGAGCUACUAAGAAUGACAUUUAUAACUUUUUUUCACCUCUCAAUCCUGUGAGAGUAUACAUUGAAAUUGGUCCUGAUGACCGAGUAAAGUUGGUGAAGCAGAUGUCGAAUUUGCAACUCAUGAAGAUGCCAUGGCAGCUAUGUCAAAAGACAAAGCAAACAUGCAACACAGACAUGUAGAACGCUUCUUGAAUUCUACAGCAGGAGCAAGUGGUGGUGCUUAUGGUAGCCAAAUGAUGAGAGGCAUGGCCUUGUCAAACAAGUCCAGUUAUGGUGGUCCAGCCAAUCAGCAGCAAAAUGGUGGUUAUGGAGGCAGCUAUGGUGGCCAGAGCAGUAUGAGAGGAUAUGACCAAGUUUUAGAGGAAAACUCCAGUGAUUUUCAAUCAAACAUUGCAUAAGUAGCCAAGGAACAGUGAACAGAGCAACUACUGCUACGACAGUAGUGGAAGCCAUGCAUCUAUGGGCAUGAACAGAAUGGGAGGGAUGUCUAGCAUGUCCAGUAUGAAUGGUGGAU